rnacentral:lncRNA from 1 species
GGAUUGGGCUAAAAAAUCCUUAGGAUAGAAUAGAUUGAUACCCGGGGGUUGACCGUUUGUGAGACAGAGUCGAAAUCAGACCACUAGCCACUAAAACGACGGCUUAGGGCAAAAUAGGAUUUCAUUUGAAGAUUGGAGGUUAAAAUUUGAGAGCUAGCUUGAAGUUCUUUCUAGAGACAUAAGAAUUAUUUUGAGAAGAUUUUAGAAGACUUAGCAAUUGUUGUUCAAAGUCAGGGUUUGUAUCAGUGAUUUGGGUUUUAUAUAAUAUAACUAGGGCUAGAAAUUUUGGCUAGUUCGUGUAAUUGGUGUGACAUCUAUAGUUGAAAAUUUGAAAUUAUUUGGAUUAUCAGGUGUGCUAAGUGUAUAAAAUUUUUUGUAAUAAUCUAACAAUGUAAUUUAGAGAUAUCUAGUUUUUAGCACAAGAGAAUUUUAGAAGGUGGCAGUUUGAGGUUGGGCAGGAUUUCUAUGAUAUCUAAUGAUCUAUCAAUU